UACGUAGGUGGCAAGCGUUGUCCGGAAUUACUGGGCGUAAAGAGCGCGCAGGCGGCUGGUCAAGUCCGAUGUGAAAGCUCCCGGCUUAACUGGGAAAUUGCAUCGGAAACUGAUCGGCUUGAAGGUGGGAGAGGGUAGUGGAAUUCCCGGUGUAGUGGUGAAAUGCGUAGAUAUCUGGAGGAAUACCGGUGGCGAAGGCGGCACCCUGGACCGACAUUGACGCUGAUGAGCGAAAGCUAGGGGAGCAAACGGG
rnacentral:rRNA from 1 species